GACGGAAGGUGCAAGCGUUGCUCGGAAUCACUGGGCGUAAAGGGUGCGUAGGCGGCGCGGUAAGUCGGGUGUGAAAUCUCGGAGCUUAACUCCGAAACUGCAUUCGAUACUGCCGUGCUUGAGGACUGGAGAGGAGACUGGAAUUUACGGUGUAGCGGUGAAAUGCGUAGAUAUCGUAAGGAAGACCAGUGGCGAAGGCGGGUCUCUGGACAGUUCCUGACGCUGAGGCACGAAGGUCAGGGGAGCAAACGGGG
rnacentral:rRNA from 1 species